rnacentral:rRNA from 1 species
GAUGAACGCUGGCGGCGUGCCUAAUACAUGCAAGUCGAGCGAACGGACGAGAAGCUUGCUUCUCUGAUGUUAGCGGCGGACGGGUGAGUAACACGUGGAUAACCUACCUAUAAGACUGGGAUAACUUCGGGAAACCGGAGCUAAUACCGGAUGAUAUUUUGAACCGCAUGGUUCAAAAGUGAAAGACGGUCUUGCUGUCACUUAUAGAUGGAUCCGCGCUGCAUUAGCUAGUUGGUAAGGUAACGGCUUACCAAGGCAACGAUGCAUAGCCGACCUGAGAGGGGGUAGGCCCAACAUGAAACGGAACCACGGUCCAAACCCCUGGGGGGGGCAGAGGUAGGGAAUUUUCCGCAAUGGGGGAAAGCCUGACGGAGCAACGCGGGGGGAGGGAUGAAGGUUUUCGGAUCGGAAAACCCUGUUUUUAGGGAAGAACAAAUGGUUAAGUAACGGGCCAAACCUUGCCGGUACUUAAAAAAAAAGCCACGGCUAACUGCGU